UUAAGUUGGGCACUCUAGAGGGACUGCCGGUGUACAAACCGGAGGAAGGUGGGGAUGACGUCAAGUCCUCAUGGCCUUUAUGACCAGGGCUACACACGUACUACAAUGGCCGGCACAAAGGGCAGCAAGCCUGCGAAGGUAAGCUAAUCCCGAAAAACCGGUCUCAGUCCGGAUCGCAGUCUGCAACUCGACUGCGUGAAGUUGGAAUCGCUAGUAAUCGUGGAUCAGCAUGCCACGGUGAAUACGUUCCCGGGCCUU
rnacentral:rRNA from 1 species